rnacentral:rRNA from 1 species
AGGACGUCUUCUUAUGAUCAAGAGCGAAAGUCGGGGGAUCAAAGAUGAUUAGAUACCGUCGUAGUCCCGACCAUAAAUGAUGCCGACUGAGCGUCGGCGACUCGUCCUUCGGCCGUACGUCGGCGCUCCUGAGAGAAAUUAAAGUCUUUGGGCUCCGGGGGUAGUAUGGUCGCAAGUCUGAAACUUGAAGGAAUUGACGGAAGGGCACCACAAGGCGUGGAUGUUGCGGCUUAAUUUGACUCAACACGGGAAAGCUUACUAGGUUUGGACACUUGAAUGACGGACAUAUUGAAGCUCUUACCUUUUUUUGUGGAUGGUGGUGCAUGGUCGCUCUCAGCCCGUGGGUUGACCUGUCAUGUUUACUCCGGUAGCGCUCGAUACCUCGGUUUGCUAAAUAUAUGUGGCUGGCUCGGCACCCGCGAUCUACUUAGAGAGAGUCUSGACGAGAGUCKAGGGAAGUCGAGGCAAUAACACAUCUGUGAUGCCCUUAGUUAUCCUAAGUCGCACGCGCCAAACAAUGUAGCUUACAACGAGUUAGUAGGCCGACAGGCGUYCUCGUUCGAUCGCGGCUGCACGGGAUGUCGUGGGACGAGUCGCUCCACGCSAGCGGCACUCCACGGCGYCGGUCCUGCCUCUCGACCKUCUCGAAUCACAGGUUGCGAGCUGC